rnacentral:rRNA from 1 species
GUCUCUUAAUUGGAGUCUGGUAUGAAUGGUUUGAUGAAAAAUUUACUUUCUUUAUUUUAUAAAAAUAAGUUAAUGUUUGGAUUAAAAAGUUCAAAUUUAGUUAAAGGACGAGAAGACCCUAUAAAACUUUAUUAUUAAUAGAUUAAUAUAAUUAUUGAUUAUUUUUAAUUAAUUUAAAUAUAAUUUGGUUGGGAGGACAGAAAAAAUUAGAUAACUUUUUUUUAUUUUUUUAUUUAUAGAUAUUUAUUUGAUCCUUUAUUAAGGAUAAUAAGAUAAAGUUACUUUAGGGAUAACAGCGUUAUUAUUUUGGAGAGUUCAUAUUGAUAAAAUAGUUUGCGACCUCGAUGUUGGAUUAAAAUUAGUAAUGGGGGUAGAUUAUCAUUACUAGGUCUGUUCGACCUUUAAAUUUUUACA